rnacentral:rRNA from 1 species
UACGUAGGGUGCGAGCGUUAUCGGAAUUACUGGGCGUAAAGCGUGCGCAGGCGGUUUUGUAAGCCAGAUGUGAAAUCCCCGGGCUUAACCUGGGAAUGGCAUUUGGGACUGCAAGGCUUGAGUGCGGCAGAGGAGACUGGAAUUCCUGGUGUAGCAGUGAAAUGCGUAGAUAUCGUGAGGAACACCAGAGGCGAAGGCGGUUUCCUGGACAGUUACUGACGCUCAGGCACGAAAGCAUGGGGAGCAAAAGGG